rnacentral:rRNA from 1 species
UACGUAGGGGGCAAGCGUUGUCCGGAAUCAUUGGGCGUAAAGCGCGUGUAGGCGGUUCGAUAAGUCUGCUGUGAAAGUCCAGGGCUCAACCCUGGGAUGCCGGUCGAUACUGCCGGACUAGAGUUCGGAAGAGGCGAGUGGAAUUCCCUGGUGUAGCGGUGAAAUGCGCAGAUAUCAGGAGGAACACCUAUUGCGAAGGCAGCUCGCUGGGACGUAACUGACGCUGAGACGCGAAAGCGUGGGGAGCAAACAGG